AGCGAACGCUGGCGGCAGGCCUAACACAUGCAAGUCGAACGAAGUCUUCGGACUUAGUGGCGGACGGGUGAGUAACACGUGGGAACGUACCUUUUGGUUCGGAACAACUCAGGGAAACUUGAGCUAAUACCGGAUGAGCCCUUCGGGGGAAAGAUUUAUCGCCAUUAGGGCGGCCCGCGUUAGAUUAGCUAGUUGGUGAGGUAAAGGCUCACCAAGGCUACGAUCUAUAGCUGGUCUGAGAGGAUGAUCAGCCACACUGGGACUGAGACACGGCCCAGACUCCUACGGGAGGCAGCAGUGGGGAAUCUUGCGCAAUGGGCGAAAGCCUGACGCAGCCAUGCCGCGUGAAUGAUGAAGGUCUUAGGAUUGUAAAAUUCUUUUACCAGGGACGAUAAUGACGGUACCUGGAGAAAAAGCCCCGGCUAACUUCGUGCCAGCAGCCGCCGCGGUAA
rnacentral:rRNA from 1 species